CAACUUUCAACAACGGAUCUCUUGGCUCUCGCAUCGAUGAAGAACGCAGCGAAAUGUGAUACGUAAUGUGAAUUGCAGAAUUCAGUGAAUCAUCGAAUCUUUGAACGCACCUUGCGCCCCUUGGCAUUCCGAGGGGCACACCCGUUUG
rnacentral:rRNA from 2 species